rnacentral:rRNA from 1 species
GACGAACGCUGGCGGCGUGCUUAACACAUGCAAGUCGAACGGAAAGGCCCUGCUUGCAGGGUACUCGAGUGGCGAACGGGUGAGUAACACGUGGGUGAUAUGCCCUGCACUUCGGGAUAAGCUUUGGAAACUGGGUCUAAUACCGGAUAGGAGCCAUCCUUAGUGUGGUGGUUGGAAAGUUUUUUCGGUGUAGGAUGAGCUCGCGGCCUUUCAGCGUGUUGGUGGGGUAAUGGCCUACCAAGGCGGCGACGGGUAGCCGGCCUGCGAGGGUGUACGGCCACAUUUGGACUGAGAUACGGCGCAGACUCCUACGGGGGGCAGCAGUGUGGAAUAUUGCACAAUGGGCGCAAGCCUGAUGCAGAGACGCCGCGUGGGGGAUGAAGGCGUUCGGGGUGUAAACUCCUUUCGCUAGGGACGAGGCGUUGGUGUGACGGUACCUAGAUAAGAAGCACCGGCUAACUACGUG